GGAUGUGAGGGAGGUCUGGCUGCAACAUCUGUCACCCCACUGAUCGCCAGGGCUGAUUCGGCUGAUCUAGACAGGCAGGUGGGCCCUUCCUCCCUCACUGUUCCAUGUGUGGCCCUCCCGAAGCUGCGUGCUGGGUGGAAGAGGACAACCACGCCCCUAUGGAUCUCCUUACGUUAUCUCAAUUACUUCUGAUAUACUCAUUCUCAUUAUAAGAGUCAAUAAUUCUGUUUUUGUCUGUUA
rnacentral:sRNA from 1 species